rnacentral:lncRNA from 1 species
AACUGCGUGUGUACCCGGCGCUUGCGACCGGCAGUCUAGUGCUAGCGUAGUUUUCCUGCUCCCUUGUUUUCUCUUUUCUGCUUAUCAGGCUGGAAGUUAAUCAGAUUGCUUUCCUCUCAUUUCACCCCCACCCCCAAUACCAUAUUUCUGGGUACCACAGCCUCAGGCAGCGCCGCUGGACUCCAGAAUCCCACGGGAGGUUUCCGGGCGAGAGCGCAGGCCGGGCCUCCGGCUCGGGUUUACUCAUCCCCAUCGCCCUCUCC